rnacentral:rRNA from 1 species
AGUGAACGCUGGCGGCGUGCUUAACACAUGCAAGUCGAACGAGAACGGGUUAUAGCUUGCUAUAAUUGUCAGCUAAGUGGCGCACGGGUGAGUAAUGUAUAGGUAAUAUGCCUCUUACUAAGGGAUAACAAAUGGAAACGUUUGCUAAUACCUUAUACUCCUUAUUAACAUAAGUUAAUAUGGGAAAGAUUUAUUGGUAAGAGAUUAGCCUGUAUUGUAUCAGUUAGUUGGUGGGGUGAUGGCUUACCAAGACUAUGACACAUAACUGGUUUGAGAGGAUGACCAGUCACACUGGAACUGAGACACGGUCCAGACUCCUACGGGAGGCAGCAGUGGGGAAUAUUGCACAAUGGACGAAAGUCUGAUGCAGCAACGCCGCGUGGAGGAUGACACAUUUCGGUGCGUAAACUCCUUUUAUAUGAGAAGAUAAUGACGGUAUUAUAUGAAUAAGCACCGGCUAACUCCGUGCCAGCAGCCGCCGUAA